UUCUUUUACCAAUAUGAUAUGAUUACCUGCCAAACUAAUCCACCAGUUUCUUAUCAACAAGGAGUUACAGUGAACAGACUGCUUAGGGGUCAGAGAUGAGCCAUAUUGUCAAACAAGGACCAAUAAGUCUUAAGUCUGUUGCCAGGAGAUUUUUAUUUCUCUCUCUACAUAGGCACUAUAGCCCUUUACUGCAAACCAAGAAUGGGUUGUGAUUUGUUCUAAGUGCCUCGCAUGUUUAUUCUCAUUAUAUUGUCCUCAAGACAAUGUGUUACUGGAGCAGAAUCAUUGUGGUGAAUCUUUUGAAUUUUGUUUUUCUAUUUGUUGAAGAAAGGCAGGCCGAGAAGGAGCAGCAGCUUGACAGAGUGAUAGAAUUUUUUAAAUUUUAUUUAAUUUAGGAUUCAUAGCCCAUACCAAUUAUUUAAAUAAAGUUUUCAUCACAGUAAAGCAUCACUUUAUAUGCUAUGGGCUUUUAAUGAUUAAUCUGUAAUUGAUCAUUAACAUUGCUGUGGUUCGAUUAUGGAAAUGACAUGGAUUGCUUUUCCUCCCUAGUUAGCACCUGUAUCAUAAACCAUCCUGGGCAGUCUGUUUUGCAGUUCCCCUGCAUUUAAUCAUCACCAUCUAUCAAUCAUAUUUUGUUCUAUGCUACUCUCUUAAUAAAUGUGAGAUUAAGAUAAAUGACACUGCACUUCAUUUAUUGUUGGCUGUGUAUGUGACAAAGUGAAGUGAUAUGCAGCGGUUAUCUGGGUGUGACACUGAACUGUGAACCCACAGCUCAUAUUCUCAGGUCAUUUUUUCAUAGGCACAGUCUAUCAACUCAUUCACCCAUUGGUGCGUCUUGUCCUCUAACCUCCACUAGUUGAGCUUUCACCCUUUCUUCUGCUCUUAUCCGUUACGCUCACUUUCACUCUUCGCCACUCUUCGCUUCUUCCUCAGUUGGUCAGACUACCAAAGUUCAGUGGUAUUUUACCUACUACAGAUUAUAAACUGCUCUCUGUGGGUGUGUGUGGGAUGUUGUGUCAGGGCUAAAGCCCAUCCCUCUCCCAUGAGCCUGUGUGCCCACACACACACCUGGCGCCUCCACGCACACACCCGGCGCCCACGCACGCACAGCCGGCACUGACGCUGUGUACUGGACCCUCGGAGCCCAGCGGAGCCAAGCGGAGCGGAGUCUAGCCCAGUUGGAGCCUGAGGAUGUCAACAGAGACAGAGCUACAGCCAGCGGUCAGGCCCAGCAGCGUCAGACGGGACUCCAAGAGGAAAGGUAAGUACAGUCUCACACCUGUUGUACAGAAACUGUGUUAAGGAAGUUAUUUAUCACUCUUCUAAGUUGUUUCCUUAUUACUCUAAAAGAAAAGAAAUCUCUUUACUACUUACUUUUAGAUUAGACUGAAUCCUUACCUGUUAUUUGUACUUUGGUUAGAAUUUGUCUGAAAAAAAAAACUGAUUCUUACCCUAGAUACAACCUCUUGCACCAUGUUUGAGCCAGCUGUUGGAAAAACGUUCCUAGUCUGUGUACCAGUGGUGUAGAAAUUCUUAUCUGUAAUAAGACAAGUUUCACAUAGGUGUGCCCGUGCUUCAUCAUAUUGCUUUGUCAGGUUUCCUGAUAUUAUUCUGGCCUGGACACAUUUUUAAUUUUUUUUACUUUAAAGACAAAUUACAGCGUUAUUCUCAUCUUUACAUUG
rnacentral:lncRNA from 15 species